rnacentral:rRNA from 1 species
AGUGAACGCUGGCGGUAGGCCUAACACAUGCAAGUCGAACGGCAGCACAGUAGGAGCUUGCUCUUACGGGUGGCGAGUGGCGGACGGGUGAGGAAUACAUCGGAAUCUACUUUUUCGUGGGGGAUAACGUAGGGAAACUUACGCUAAUACCGCAUACGACCUACGGGUGAAAGCAGGGGAUCUUCGGACCUUGCGCGAUUGAAUUAGCCGAUGUCGGAUUAGCUAGUUGGCGGGGUAAAGGCCCACCAAGGCGACGAUCCGUAGCUGGUCUGAGAGGAUGAUCAGCCACACUGGAACUGAGACACGGUCCAGACUCCUACGGGAGGCAGCAGUGGGGAAUAUUGGACAAUGGGCGCAAGCCUGAUCCAGCCAUACCGCGUGAGUGAAGAAGGCCUUCGGGUUGUAAAGCCCUUUUGUUGGGAAAGAAAAGCAGCAGGUUAAUACCCCGCUGUUCUGACGGUACCCAAAGAAUAAGCACCGGCUAACUUCGUG